CUCCGUGGCAAAACUCCAAAACUUUAUUGAACUUGGCCGAGGUUUUCUCCUCCUCCUCCUCCUCCUCUUCUCCUCCUCUUCCUCCUCCUCUUCUCCUCUUUCUGCUCCUCUCCUUCGUGGCAAAACUCCAAAACUUUAUUGAACUUGGCCGAGGUUUUCUCCUCCUCCUCCUCCUCCUCUUCUCCUCUUUCUGCUCCUCUCCUCCGUGGCAAAAUUCCAAAAUUUUAUUGAGCUUGGCCGAGGUUUUCUCCUCCUCUUCUCCUCCUCCUCCUCCUCCUCCUCUUCUCCUCUUUCUGCUCCUCUCCUUCGUGGCAAAAUUCCAAAAUUUUAUUGAACCUGGCCGAGGUUUUCUCCUCCUCCUCCUCCUCCUCCUCCUCUUCUCCUCCUCCUCCUCCUCUUCUCCUCUUUCUUCUGCUCCUCUCCUUCGUGGCAAAAUUCCAAAAUUUUAUUGAGCUUGGCCGAGGUUUUUUCCUCCUCCUCCUCCUCCUCUUCUCCUCCUUUUUCUGCUCCUCUCCUUCGUGGCAAAAUUCCAAAACUUUAUUGAACUUGGCCGAGGUUUUCUCCUCCUCUUCCUCCUCCUCCUCCUCCUCCUCCUCCUCCUCCUCCUCCUCCGUGCCAAAGUUAUUUCCCAGGAAUUUUCAUCGCCACUUCCAGAAUCUCAAUAAAAAGGAAUUUAAAAUCAUCGGGAUCUCCUCCUCCUCCUCCUGCUCCUCCUCCUCUUUCUACUCCUCCGUGGCAAAAUUCCAAAAUUUUAUUGAACUUGGCCGAGGUUUUUUCCUCCUCCUCCUCCUCUUCUCCUCCUUUUCCUGCUCCUCUCCCCCGUGCCAAAGUUAUUUCCCGGGAAUUUUCAUCGCCACUUCCAGAAUCUCAAUAAAAAGGAAUUUAAAAUCAUCGGGAUCUCCUCGUUUUUCUCCUCCGUGGCAAAAUUCCAAAAUUUUCUCGAACUUGCUCAGCGCCCGGAUCGCGUUUCCAGCGCGUCCCUCCUCCACC
rnacentral:lncRNA from 1 species